ACAAUAUUAGUCAAAUGUUUUGUUCAAUGAGAUCACAGUUUUUGCGCGACACCACGUGUCCAUUUACGGCAUUACAACAACGUCGCCACUUUCCUGCCUCGAAGUUUUAGCUAGCUUACCACACUUUAGCCACACACUUUGAGGAUUAGGAUGCUCAGACUAGCAUGGCGUCGCUCGGCGUCCAUAAAUAGCAUCGUGGAGCCUCCUCUUCUUGUCACUGCAGCUUUCAGGGACACGACCCCUCCUCUCAAGAGCAACUUAGGAGCUCGCAUCAGGCUUUUCCAACAGUUUCCCCACCCACCAAGCCUCUGGUCUCCGCCGCUCAGCCCUACGCAGCAGCUGUCCCAUUACCCCAGAUCAUCUCCCUUUAUGAGCAUGGCAUCAGGAGGCGAAGGACCGCCAUCGACCCCUCCCCGACACACAAAUAGGCUAUCCAAAGAGAGGUCACCCUACCUGCUACAACAUGCACAUAACCCAGUUGACUGGUAUCCAUGGGGGCAGGAUGCUUUCAACAAGGCACGAAGUGAAGACAAACCAAUCUUUUUAUCAGUGGGCUACUCAACAUGCCACUGGUGCCAUGUUAUGGAGCGGGAGUCGUUCGAAGAUGAGGACAUUGGCAAAAUCCUCAAUGAGAACUUUGUCUGCAUCAAAGUAGACCGAGAAGAGAGACCAGAUGUUGACAAGGUGUACAUGACCUUCGUACAGGCAACAAGUGGAGGCGGAGGAUGGCCCAUGAGUGUUUGGUUAACCCCUGAUCUUCGGCCUUUUAUUGGAGGCACCUACUUUCCACCCAGAGACCAUGGAAGAAGACCCGGCUUUAAGACAGUCCUCUUCAGAAUCAUAGAACAGUGGCAGAACAACCGUUCCAACUUGGAGUCCAGUGGCGACAGGAUCCUUGAAGCUCUGAAAAAAGGCACAACUGUGGCUGCGCACCCAGGUGAGAGUCCUCCCUUGGCCCCCGAUGUGGCUUGUCGCUGUUUCCAGCAGCUCGUCCGCUCUUAUGAAGAAGAGUACGGAGGCUUCAGAGAUGCUCCCAAGUUCCCCACGCCAGUGAACUUGAUGUUUCUGAUGUCUUACUGGUCUGUGAAUCGCUCCACGUCAGAGGGGGUUGAGGCUCUCCAGAUGGCUAUGCAUACUCUUCGCAUGAUGGCGCUCGGUGGCAUCCAUGACCAUAUAGCGCAGGGUUUUCAUCGUUACUCUACAGAUUCUUCUUGGCACGUUCCCCACUUUGAAAAGAUGUUGUACGACCAGGCCCAGCUCGCUGUUGCCUACAUAACGGCGUUCCAGGUAUCAGGUGAGCAGUUCUUUGCAGAUGUGGCCAAAGACAUACUACUUUACGUCUCCAGAGAUCUGAGUGACCAGUCUGGAGGCUUCUACAGUGCAGAGGAUGCAGACUCUAUCCCAUCAUCGGGAGGCUCGGAAAAGCGUGAGGGGGCUUUUUGCGUUUGGACAGCCUCAGAGGUUCGGCAGCUGUUGGCAGAUGUGGUGGAGGGUGCCAGUGGCUCUGCAACAUUGGGAGAUAUUUUCAUGCACCACUAUGGGGUGAAGGAGCUUGGCAAUGUUGCCCCUGAGCAGGACCCUCAUGAGGAGCUGCAGGGCCAGAAUGUGCUGAUUGUGCGGUAUUCUGCAGAGUUAACAGCUGCACGCUUUGGCAUUACUGUGGAGAUGGUCAAUGAGCUUUUGGCAUCGGCCAGAGCCAAAAUGGCAGAAGUGAGGAAGACUCGCCCACGACCACAUCUGGACACCAAGAUGCUGGCCUCCUGGAAUGGGCUCAUGCUGUCAGCCUAUGCCCGUGUUGGCGCCGUGCUUGGGGACAAGGCCCUGCUAGAGAGGGCGGAGCUGGCCGGCCACUUCCUUAAAGAGCAUCUGUGGGACGCAGGGAUGCAGACCAUUCUGCGAUCCUGUUACCGUGGAGACCAGAUGGAGGUGCAGCAGAUCUCACCUCCAAUUUCUGGCUUCCUGGAUGAUUACGCCUUCGUUAUUUGUGGGUUGCUGGACCUAUAUGAGGCCACACUGCAGACGGAGUGGUUGCAGUGGGCCGAAGAGCUGCAGCUCAGGCAGGAUGCGCUGUUCUGGGACGCACUGGGUGGAGGCUACUUCUGCAGCGAUCCCAGUGAUGGCACUGUUCUCCUGCAACUUAAAGAAGAUCAGGAUGGCGCAGAGCCUAGCGCCAACUCUGUUUCAGCUUCCAGUCUCUUACGUCUGUCCCAGUACACUGGAAGACAGGAAUGGCUCCAGAGAUCCCAACAGCUGCUGGCGGCCUUCUCUGACCGCCUAACCAAUGUUCCCAUUGCACUACCUGAGAUGGUCCGGGCUCUUAUGGCACAGCACUACACGCUCAAGCAGAUUGUGAUAUGUGGCGAAAGGGAUUCCCCGGAUACCAAAAGUCUUUUAGAUGCAGUUAACUCUCUCUUCUUACCACACAAGGUCUUGAUGCUUUUAGACGGCAAUGCAGACAGUUUCCUGUGCCAGCGUCUGCCUGCACUCUCCUCCAUGACCCAGCAGGGUGGAGUGGCCACCGCCUACGUAUGCCAGGACUUCACCUGCUCACUGCCCGUCACAGACCCCCAGGAACUCCGCAGGCUUCUACUGGAUGGACAUGUGGGAACGCAGGCAGAAUAAUCGCUUGACACCUUUCUUGACUUGACUUAAAGCAGCUUUAAAGACUCAAACGAUGAGCAGCUUGUUUUGCUGUCUGUAGCAGGUUAAAUGAUCAUUUUUUUUGCCACAAGAUUAGACUUCUCUCCGUAGCAUGUUAAUUAUUCCACUUCAUUAAUUCGUCAAAUAUCAGUUUAAAGUUAGAAGCCAUAUAAAGUCAUUAAGGUAUACAAAGUCUGUUAAAAAAAACAAAAAAACAAUAAGCUACACUGUGAGCUCACUCUAAAUAUGUAGUGCUUGUGCAAAAUGGCCUUUUGUGCGGUGUGAUGUGUUUCCUCCGAGGGAAGCAACACACUUUUAAUAGAUCUUAACCUAAGCUUGAACCAACAUUGUUUUCCUUCUUCCAAGCCCCUUCCUCUAGCUCCCACGUCGCAUGGAUCUGACAAGGGCUGCCUUCACGCCGGUGUGUGUGUGUGUGCAUGCAUAUCUGUGGGCGACCGUUUUUUAAAACUUCAUGGUAUGUAUGUACGUGCGUUUGACGUCAUCUGUAAUCGUGUCACAGUGAGCGAGCUGCUCUCUAAUGAGAUGCCCUGUUACCAUCUGCUCUCGCUCACUUCACCGCAAUCUCAACUCAAUGCGGCUGUGUGAGGUGAAUCUUUUACAUGAAUGCAGAUAGACGCCAUAUUUACACGUCUAAGGCCAACACUAGCUUUGUUGUUUUUUCACACUAAUCAUUUUGGCAUAAUUUAACAGCUAAUAAAUAAUAUAUAUAUAUAUAUAUAUAACCCAUUGUCAGUAUAUUUUGUGCUGAAGUAGUGCAUGAGCUCUUGGUGACAAUCUGGAUAAAUGCAGAUAUAGCAAUUAAUAUAAAUCCAAUUAAUAUCAAUACCAAUCGAAAUGUCAUUUUUAAAUGACUAACUUGAUCUCAGCAACAAAACUAUUUAACUUAACUAAACAAUCUGCAGGUCUUUGGACACCCUUUGGACGCACUAUGGCAUCAAUGGAAUUGUCCACCCCCUGAAUCAUAUUGGUACCGCCUCUCUGUUUGUAUUGAUGCAACAUAAUCAUACACAAAUACAUCCAUGCUGCUUUUGUUGGUAGGUCAAAAUCUGCACAAUGCAAUUCAGGUUGAUUAUUUUAUAUUCUUACUCAUAUACGUAUUUAAUACUAUAAAAUAAAGUUAGUCUAUUUUUAUGUGUAAAUCCAUCUGAAAUGGGAAAACUCCAGCCUGAGCAGAGUCCGACUUUUGUACUAUUUAUACUCAGGCAGAGAAAGUCCCUCUAUCUCUCUCGAAUGCCAGCAGGCUGAAUGAAGAUAAUGUAAACCCUGUGUGACUUUAUGUUGUAUAGGGAGAAUGGCCACAUGGGAAUGCUCUUGUGUGUGUGUGUGUGUGUGUGUGUGUAUAUGAAAGGAGGAGACAGAUGGGCUGCUGAUGUUGAGGAGAGGGAGUUUGGCUCGCAGGUUCCUGCUCUGGGCUCUGGAAGCGAAGGAGACAAACAAGAUGUUUCAUCCUGUCACAGUAGGAGCGCCGUAUCACUCUGCUCGCCUGAGGAAAGUUGCCACCUUAUCCACUCCGCUUCUCCUCCUUAUCCACUUUUUCAUUCACAACAUUUAAUCCAUGUAACCUCUUUUUUUUUCCAGAGGAAACCACGGAAGGUGUUUUAACUUGGUUUUGAGGUAGAAACAAUCCUCUUGUUCUAUUUUGUCACUUUCAACUGUUACUUUUUUUUUUACCUUUCACAGUGGGAACAGUCCACUUCUUUUUUUUGUCACUUUCUAUUCCCUCAGCCCUGUCUCUCACUCCACCCAUCUUGCCUACUUUUACAUUGUGCGAGUCUUCCAGGUCCUGAAGCAGCAACACAGCCCCAGACCAUCACACUACCACCACUAUAUUUUACUGUGAUAUUUUUUUAUUCUGAAAUGAGAUUUAACAGGACACACACCUUCCAAGUUUAGAGUAUUUUCCCAAAGGUCAUCAAUUGAUCUUAGUUCCCUAGUUUGGAAAAUAUAUUAUUUUACUGUUAAAUACACAUACAUGCACUUGUUUUCAUGUUUUUAUUUUGGUUGGAAUGGGGACAUAGCAGGGUAGAGUGUUGCGUAUGCUAUUUGAGUGAAAAGUGUGUGUGUGCAGUCGUGUUAUUGUGCCUUAUUCCAGAUAUGGUUGCUGUGUCUCUUGCCUGUCUGUGUGAUAAUGAGGCCACAGGGGGCUGACAACAGAGACGCAGACCGAGCAGGAGCGUUCAGUGAGUUCACAAAGAUGCUGUUGCAUCUUUUAAAAAAAGAUCCCCUCAUGUUCUGAGACAUGGCUGAGAAAGUUGUGAGGCUGCUUAUAGGAAUAAACAUGGAGCUAAUAUCAAGUUUAAACAUCAUGUUGAAUGUGGGAGGUGGACUUAUACCAACAUUAUUAUUAUUAUUAUGACAUUAUUAUUAUUCAUUCAUUCAUUUUCUACCGCUUAUCCUUGCCCAGUUGUGUUAGGGCGAGAGGCGGGGUACACCCUGGACUGGUGGCCAGCCAAUCACAGGGCACAUAUAGACAAACAACCAUUCACACUCACAUUCAUACCUAUGGACAAUUUGGAGUCACCAAUUAACCUACCAUGUUUUUGGAAUGUGGGAGGAAACCGGAGUACCCGGAGAAAACCCACGCAUGCACGGGCAGAACAUGCAAACUCCACACAGAGAUGGCCGAGGGUGGAAUUGAACUUGGGUCUCCUAGCUGUGACGUCUAUGCGUUAACCACUUCGUCGCCGUGCAGCUAUUAUUAUUAUUAUACCAAUAUUGCCAAAACCCUGUGUUCAGACACAAGAGGAAGCCCACAUCUUUAUUUUCACUACAUGUGAAAAUAAAUAAUUUACAUUUCCAGUGUCAAAAUAUGUAUUAUACAGGAAAAAUAUGAAAAAGUGAAUAUUAUAGUUCCAUAAAGUAUCCCGUCUCUCCUCCAUUGCGUUGACAUCUUAGCCAGCUACGGGUAAACACAACAGACGUAGCAAGACAACAGAAUUGGAUCAUAGCUCAGACGGUCCUGGUCUACAGGAGCAUCACAAAGGCAGUCAUGAGCGGUGGGGUGCAUCCAACCGGACGCCGCAAGGCCAGCGGGACGGGCAGUCAGUGUGGGGGGCAAGUAGAGAUAGAAUUAUCGUCAAUGUCUUCAUUGUAAAAAAACAAAAUGGGUCAGUGAAGUUCCAAAACAGACAUUCUCCAUUUAUGUAACGCCGUCAUGCUUUUUUUCAUUAAUAAGCAAGCCUGAAGGUUAGCAGGUUAGGUCAUGUGACAUACAUUUAUAGUAGAUAAUAGUAAAAUGAGGUGAAUUUAAUCCACCCAUUUCUGAUUAUAGUGGACAUCCAUCUUUAAAGACAUAUUUGACCGUACUAGUUAUAUAGAGCAAUCACGUUUUACAGCCAAAGGCCUUUUCAUUCUGCCUAUUUUCUACUGGGCGUCCUGCUUUAAAGACUCUUUAAAGACAUACAUCCCUCUAGUCUUGUCCUCCUGGAAGCAUGCAUGGCUAACUUCGGUUUUGUUCCAUGAACUUGUGUUUUGGGAGAAGGGCUUUGUUUGUCUUUCUGCCAAUCAUUCUUUUGGAUCCCGUAGUUUAUGAGAUGGCAGCAUUUUGUUUUUGUGUUUUUGCCUUCAGAUCAUUUCUGUUUGGAUGUUGCCGCGUGUUUGCCUCCAUCGGCCACAGUAGAUAUCGCCGUGUUUACAUUUAACCAACAACUGUCAGAACAUGAGAAUGCAGGUAAGCCAGACAAUGCAUUCGUUCUUUUUGGUAGUAUUGAUUGUGUCACUUGAACUUUGCAGGGGUUGGUCUGGACACCUGAGUAAUCCCUGACUGGAACUCUGGGUUGCCUAGCAACCAUAAGAUUGGGGAGCUGGAAAGAAAACUCAUCCAAUUAAAUGUUAAAUAACAUUAUCAAGCAUGGCUCUCAGUAAGCAGGCUACACCCAAUAUUUCAUAGGUGAAAAAUGUUAAAAAUGUCAAAAUGGGCAAAUUGAAAGAACCAAACCUGUAAGAAUAAAAAUCCUAAAGCCCUCGUCAUGGUCCUGGAACAAUACCAUAAGCAGAAUUCCCAGUUUGAUGUUCCUCACUGCAGUGACAGAAGAGGAAAUGAUGUUGUAAAACAUUAACAACCUUAACACAUUACCAGAAACAAUAAGUUGUAGCGAAUGAAUGAAUGAAUGAAUGAAAGGACUGAACUAACAGGAUUAAUUCAUAAAUUGUGAACGUGUGAUCAUAUUACAGUAUGUCCUCUAUGGAAAUGUUGCCAAGCAUGUCUCACAAACAUUACUAUCCUGAGCAUCAUCUUGUGUUGAUGCUCCUCACAGAGAAGAACCGAGGAGUGAGAGGAGGGGAAGAAAAGGAGAGAAAUCACUGCAUGAUGUGUUCAGUGCCCUGUGUGAAAGACCAAAAAAAGCCUCUAUGGCAGGAUAGCAGCCAAAAACAAUACUAGUUCUUCAUGAUCAUUUCAUAACUGAACUCCAGAUAGGUGACCAGGAGGGAGUGGAUUAUAUUAAUAUGUAUGAUAAGAAAAUGGGAUUGGAAGAAAAGGCCAAAUGAAAGAAGGAAAGGAAGCCGACAGGUCAGUCAUUCAGGCUCCACCACGCAGAGAAAAAUAUGAGAUUUAUCAUGUGAUGCCAGGCCCCAGUUUGUGUAGCGGAAAGGAAGGUAAGUAGAGCGAUGGAGGCUGAGGGGGAACGCGCCAACUAGUUCAUCAUGGUAGCCUAGUUAGGUGAAAGCUUCAUGAGAGAAAGGUAUGCUCAUUAAAUCCCUUACGACCAAACUCUACAUUUCUCUACUUUUCUUCUCCACUUCCACUUUUGCGUUAUGUGUGGAGCUGUCGUAUGGACUUCUAUGCUCCACACGAGAUAGCGAGGCCGCGGUGCUUUUUAGUUUGUUUUCUAUUGUCAAAUUGGCACAAUACACAUAAUACAGCCUUGACACACAGAAAGUACAAUACACGUCUCAUGGGUUCCUUUGUUUAAGUGCCGGUUUGUUCACUUUACUUCAUUUUCUACAGCUUAUCCUCACGAGGGUCGCGGGGGUGCUGGAGCCUAUCCCAGCUAUCUUCGGGCGAGAGGCGGGGUACACCCUGGACUGGUGGCCAGCCAAUCACAGCAACAUUUCAACAUGUAUUUCCCAAACAACAAUAUUUUGUUUGGGAUGUCGGACUGUCCUUGUCUUCCCGCUUAAGCUUUUAAACAUCAUUGAAGGAUGACUGAAGUUUCUUUAGUAUUCUCUGCAAUAUGACUGUCGAACCCUCUCACUAUUUGGUCAUUAUUAGUACAAUAAUUCCAAACUUUAAUUCCACGUGUUGCCAAUUAUGUAAUAUAGGCUGUAUGAACCCAGACGUAUACUUCAAACAGGUCACAUCUGCAAACUCCUUACCAGACAAUGAUUGAUAAAGAGGAAGUGGAAUUCCUUUUUGAUGAGACAUCUUAACUCCAUAACCAGCAGUGUGACCACAAUGAACAUGGAUAAAAACUGUAGUUCAUUUUUCUUCUGGAUGUUUUACAGCCGAGAGGCAACGCUUUGCGUGGCAUCUCGCUAUUGCGGUCCUAACUUUCUCCAGAGCGUUGAAGAAGAAAGAUGGAGGCCGGCCAAAUUGCCGACUCACACACGCUUACACAGAUGCACACAUCCGUUCCUGACGUCUUCUGUUUCUUCCCUCCAGAGUAAUGAAGUGUGACCACUAUGACAGAGGAGAUGCUCUCAGAGAACCCCCCUGCGUAUGUCUCUCCAGGUUACACGCUACAUACAUCACACAUAUACUAUUAUAUCCAUAAAUAGCUCACAGCUGUCUAUCAGUCAGUCUUCCUGACAUAUCAUAUACAUUUUUUGUACACCUGAGCUUCCUCACGUUGGGUGAUGUCGAGCAUUGUACUGUUCUCAGUAUCAUAGUAUGUACGCUACUGGGACUUUUUGAAUAGAUUAAAGCAUUAAAGCAUAUUAAUAUUAAGAAUACAGAUGGACUCCUGCAAUAUAUUAACAACAACACAAGCCAUGCACAAAGAAUGCACGCAAACAGAGGCGUAAUUGAUUGAUGUUAACCAAAAAAGUAUGCUAACCGGGGCGGACGCUAACCGAGGUUCCACUGUAAUGCCUGCUAGUUGCUUACAUGACUCCAUUCUACCGCUCUCUGACACAAAUGCUUUGACAUGCUAUUUUUGAUGCUUUCACCUGGUGGCCAGCCAAUCACAGGGCACAUAUAGACAAACAACCAUUCACACUCAUAUUCAUACCUAUGGACAAUUUGGAGUCAACAAUUAACCUAGCAUGUUUUUGGAAUGUGGGAGGAAACCGGAGUACCCGGAGAAAACGGGUACAUGCAAACUCCAAACAGAGAUGGCCGCGGGUGGAAUUGAACCCUGGUCUCCUCGCUGUGAGGUCUGCACGCUAACCACUCGUCCACCGUGCAGCCCUCACCUCAGAUUAUAGAUACAAUUUUACAUACGUGCUCCGUUAGUAGGAAUCUUAGUAACUCUUAUAACAAAUCCGACCGCCGGUCCUGGCAUGUUUCACCGUGCAGUGGGAUGUUCAAUGUCAUCAGGAAAGGACACACACACACAUGGGAAUGUGCAGUUAAGUGACGCAUAAGAUACUGUGAACCAGACUCGGAUUUGGAAUUGGACUUUUAAGACCACCUUGAAAUGCGGUUUGGGAAAUAAUCUCAUAUCAUAUGUUUUUUAUUCAAUAGCCAGACAGCCAACACUCAAGUCAAAAAUGUAUUUGGCCUGGCGGGCUCAACUGAGAGUAUUAUUUUCCCCUGAGUAGCUUGAAAAAUGGGAGGAAUAAAUUCAGCAGGAUGUUUGCUUUAGUCGGUAGCAUAACACAUUUCCUGCUUCAAUAUAUUUAUUGUGGAUUUAAUUUAGUAUUGACAUGUACAGAGACCCAAAUCCCUGCCUUGUUAUGGAGAAAGACGACACUUUUUUUGACAAGAAGGGGAAGAAAAAGACAGGAAAUGCUUGUUGUUUAGUUGUCUGCAGUUACGGAAUGACGAAUGUGAUCGUUUCUUUGUCGAUGUAGACUACAAUCUUGAACUUCCACAUGACCAGAUAUAUUUUGCCUCCAUGAGGGCCCAUAUCUGUCGCGUGACUGGAAUGUCAGAUUAUUUUUGUCUAAAUGGGACAACGUGUAGAGAAAUGUGCUCUGUUUAUGAAAAGAUGCAGUCUGGAAAGUAGCGGACGCUCUUUAUUAUUUCUUUUUUCUUUAAACAAAAUGUCGAGGCACCAAUAACUGACUUCCUCAAUUAUUCAAUUGCACAUCAGUUGAACUGCUGGAAGCCAUUAAAACCUAAUGGAAGCAAAGUUAAAACAUGACCAUAUAUGUUCAUAUAUCAAAAAUGAUUAUAAAUAUGACUGCAAUGUUGGCCGAAGGUCCGUUUACUUUUAAGUGGAGUUGGAAGUCGGGGGUUCUCGGUGGUAAUUUGUAGGUGCUGUUCCCAGAUGUUCCAUUUGAGAUUCAAUUUCCUUCUGCCAGCGAGGUCACAGUAAGGUGCUAAAGCAGAUGCAGCAGCUGUUCAAAUGUUCCCUUCUCCAGGUUUGCUUUCACCAAAACAUCAUUUCAAGACCUCUUGUUGUGCGGAAUUGACUUUUAAUGAUGUUAUAACAGUUAAUAUGUGUGCAUGGAGCCUGUUAUGAGCACCAAAUAUGACAUUAUGGCAUCUUACUCAGUUGUGCUCAAAUGGUCGUUUUCGAAUUUUUGGGUCUUUAGUGUGAUUCUUGUUUUAUUUUCUGAUAUUUUGGCUACUAUAUUAGAUAAUACGAGUGUAAAGGUGACUAUAGGGGUGCUAUUGAUGUCUCGAGGGCUGGAAUGUAUUUAAACGUCAUAAACAGUUUUUGCCCUUCCUUUUAUGAAGAGGGAAACCUUUCACAUACUUUUCAUAGAUAUUCCAAAUGAUCCAUAUGCAUCUGUAUAUACUUUGGAAGAACUAAACAGAACGUGUGCUUUGUUUCCACCAUCAAAUACAGUAAAAGAACCUCCCACUGGAGAGAUGGGCAUCCAGACUUCAAGGAGGUUUCCUUCCAAUUCGCCUUUCUACAGUUGCAGCGGCGUAUUAUGCAAAUGAGGCUGCCUGAUUUCGUCAAGAAGUGUGAUGAUGAUGAAGCUGGCCAGACAGGAAUGGAUCACCUGGACACACUUCAGAGGGAAGACGGAGGGUGGAACCCGGGCGCAACAGAUGUGGAUAUUAUCUUCUUUGACAACGAAGUUCAUCACGGCGGAAUGAGGACAGGAUGAACUUUGGUUAGAAGUUCGUUACACCCAAAGAGUGAUGAUCUUACCGAGCUGUGGAAGCCUUGCUGAUGGACGGAACCGACCGAAGACAGUUCUGGAGGAGACAAGGGUGAGAGCGGAAGUGUCCGGGUUGAAACCAAGAGGAAAGAUGCUCUGUGAUGUUUUAAAAAUCCAACUCUACUUCAAGCUCGGCAACGUCGAGGGAUUUUGAAAACUCUGAUGCGGAAUAUGCGCUAAAACUGCCUGUGGAUGCAAUGAAAAGUGUUGGAGUGUACUUCAUCUAAAAGAGGAACGCAUAUUCUUUUUUCGUUGUUGUUAUUUCUCCUUUUUUGGACCAUCUGAAGAAAGGAUUCCGCAGAAGUUUGCGCACCGUGUUUAUAUAUUCAUUUAAAAAAAAGGCUUAACGCCGCAGUCCCGGACCUAGACCUUUUCAUAAAAAUCCCCACUAGUGGAUGUUAAGAAGUGCUACUGAGGCCCCUGGCGAGAGGUUGGGAACACCUGGGGCUCAGGGGGCCCCCCCCUGCGCACCGCAGCGAGGCUGCAGAGACGGACCCGGUGCGCCAGCGAGCCACUUGGAAGUCUCUCCGGUCCAGCAAAGACCUGCACAGAACCCGAUUUUGUCAUCCAGAUCUUCUCUCCUUGCCACCAAAAGGUUGUUUGGCUCAUUUCCAGGCUGGUGUGGACUUUGUGCAGCCGCAAAACUGAUCAUGCGAUGACUGAGUGCGCUUUAGAUACAUCUACCCAGUCCAA